AUUAGUAUGAGUUUGAUCCUGGCUCAGAAUGAACGCUAGCGAUAAGCUUAACACAUGCAAGUUGAACGCCAUUUCAGAAAUUUUCUGAUAUGGAGUAGCGAACGGGUGAGUAACGCGUAAGAAUCUACCUCGCAAACCAAGCAAAGAGUGAUCUGAAUCUCGGAUAAAUUAAUAAAAUUAAUUAAAGUCAAAAGACGUUGCGAGAUGAGCUUGCGUAGGAUUAGGUAGUUGGUAGGGUAAAAGCCUCCCAAGCCGAAGAUCCUUAGCUGAUCUGAGAGGAUGAUCGGCCACACUGGGACUGAGACACGGCCCAGACGCUUUCGAGCGGCAGCAGUGAGGAAUCUUGGACACUGGGCGCAAGCCUGAUCCAGCUAAAUCGCGUGGGUGAUGAAGACUAACUUGGUUGUAAAGCCCUUUACUUCAAUAGAGAUUAUGACAAAAUUGAAGCAAAAAGUCCCGGCCAAUUUCGUGCCAGCAGCCGCGGUAAUACGAGAGGGGCAAGCGUUAUUCGGAAUGAUUGGGCGUAAAGCGCACGUAGGCUGUUUAGAAAAUCAGAAAUAAAAACAUCAAAGCACCCCUUUGACACUUAUUUUUUUGAUUCCUAAACUGGAGUCUGUAAGAGGAGAAUGGAAUUCCUGGCGUAGAGGUAAAAUUUGUUGAUUCCAGGAGGAACACCUAAAGCGAAGGCAAUUCUCUGGUACUAGACUGACGUUGAGGUGCGACAGCGUGGGGAUCAAAGGGGAUUAGAUACCCCCGUAGUCCACGCCGUCAACGAUGACCUUUCUGUGAAUAGUAAAGUCUGUAAUUACAAAAGGCUUUGCCUUUUGUAAUCCUGGUUUACCAUUUAUAUUAGCUAACGCGUUAAAAGGUCCGCCUGAGGAGUACGGUCGCAAGACUAAAACUCAAAGGAAUAGACGGGGGCUCACACAAGUGGUGGAACAUGUGGUUUAAUUCGAAACAACGCGCAAAACCUUACCAGUCCUUGACAUAAUCUUUACACAAUUUCUUGUUAUUUAGAAAUACUAAAAGAGACCUUUUAGUGAAGAUUACAGGUGUUGCAUGGCUGUCGUCAGUUCGUGUUGUGAAAUGUUGGAUUAAUUUCCUUAACGAACGAAACCCCUCUUUUCAUGGAAAAUUUCUUUCUUUAUUUGAAAUUUUAAAUGGAAAUACAGCUGGUGAUAGACUAGAGGAAGGGAGGGAUCACGUCAAGUCCUCAUGACCCUUAUGGGCUGGGCUACACACGUGUUACAAUGAUGAGUACAAAAAGGAGCAAUGAUGAAAAUCGGAGCAAAUCUUAAAAACUCGUCUCAGUUCAGAUUGUUCUCUGCAACUCGAGAACAUGAAGCCGGAAUCACUAGUAAUCGUAGAUCAGCACGCUACGGUGAAUUUGUACCUGAGCCUUGUACUCACCGCCCGUCACAGCCUAAAAGCAAAUAGUGGAGGAAGUCUUUGAGAUUCUGGAAAAUAUAGGAAUAAAUGAUACUAAUUAUGAUUUUCUGUAGAUUUUCUUUGAACUCAAGCCGAAUUUAAGAUUUGUGAUUGGGUUGAAGUCGUAACAAGGUAGCUGUAGGGGAACCUGCAGCUGGAAUAUAGAGAUU
rnacentral:rRNA from 1 species